rnacentral:rRNA from 1 species
GACGAACGCUGGCGGCGUGCUUAACACAUGCAAGUCGAACGGAAAGGCCCUGCUUUUGUGGGGUGCUCGAGUGGCGAACGGGUGAGUAACACGUGAGUAACCUGCCCUUGACUUUGGGAUAACUUCAGGAAACUGGGGCUAAUACCGGAUAGGAGCUCCUGCUGCAUGGUGGGGGUUGGAAAGUUUCGGCGGUUGGGGAUGGACUCGCGGCUUAUCAGCUUGUUGGUGGGGUAGUGGCUUACCAAGGCUUUGACGGGUAGCCAGCCUGAGAGGGUGACCGGCCACAUUGGGACUGAGAUACGGCCCAGACUCCUACGGGAGGCAGCAGUGGGGAAUAUUGCCCAAUGGGCGGAAGCCUGAUGCAGCAACGCCGCGUGCGGGAUGACGGCCUUCGGGUUGUAAACCGCUUUCGCCUGUGACGAAGCGUGAGUGACGGUAAUGGGUAAAGAAGCACCGGCUAACUACGUG